rnacentral:rRNA from 1 species
CCCGGGAUCCCUAGUAGCGGCGAGCGAGCGGGAAGAGCUCAAAUUUAUAAUCUGGCACCUUCGGUGUCCGAGUUGUAAUCUCUAGAAAUGUUUUCCGCGUUGGACCGCACACAAGUCUGUUGGAAUACAGCGGCAUAGUGGUGAGACCCCCGUAUAUGGUGCGGACGCCCAGCGCUUUGUGAUACAUUUUCGAAGAGUCGAGUUGUUUGGGAAUGCAGCUCAAAUUGGGUGGUAAAUUCCAUCUAAAGCUAAAUAUUGGCGAGAGACCGAUAGCGAACAAGUACCGUGAGGGAAAGAUGAAAAGCACUUUGGAAAGAGAGUUAACAGUACGUGAAAUUGUUGGAAGGGAAACGCUUGAAGUCAGACUUGCUUGCCGAGCAAUCGGUUUGCAGGCCAGCAUCAGUUUUCCGGGAUGGAUAAUGGUAGAGAGAAGGUAGCAGUUUCGGCUGUGUUAUAGCUCUCUGCUGGAUACAUCUUGGGGGACUGAGGAACGCAGUGUGCCUUUUGGCGGGGGUUUCGACCUCUUCACACUUAGGAUGCUGGGGGAAUGGCUUUAAACGACCCGUCUUGAAACCACGGACCA